UACAGAGGGGGCAAGCGUUAUUCGGAAUUAUUGGGCGUAAAGGGCGCGUAGGCGGCCUGGCAAGUGGAUGGUGAAAUCCCUCGGCUUAACCGAGGAACUGCCAUCCAGACUGCUUGGCUUGAGACCGGGAGAGGUGAGUGGAAUUCCCAGUGUAGCGGUGAAAUGCGUAGAUAUUCGCAAGAACACCAGUGGCGAAGGCGGCUCACUGGCCCGAUACUGACGCUGAGGCACGAAAGCGUGGGGAGCAAACAGG
rnacentral:rRNA from 1 species